AACAGGUGUCCUGGAGUGAGGACACCGCCCUACCUCCACUCUGAGCCUCCAGAUAUGUGAGAUGCACCAGAAUUCAGGGUGGGGCCUUUGACCUCCCUAUUUUCCCCUUUCAGGCCCAGAUCCUCUCAGAUUCCCACAGAUGGGCUCCAGCCAGGGAGGGUGGGGCUACCCCUGGGACCAUCAGGAGGAACCAGCUACAUAGUCCGGUGACAGAGUGGUGGCAGGAAGCAGCCUCUCACCUGCCUCUGUGCCUCCAGCUGACUUUAGUAGACCAUGUCCCAUCACCUGUUUCUCCCAGUUGUAAUCAUGGUGGUCAGUCCCAUCCCUCCAGGAGCCUUCCAGGACUCAGUGGUCAGUCCUACCCAAGGAGAAUUUGAAGACCUAGACUGCGGCCGCCCUGAGCCCUCUUCCCGCAUUGUGGGGGGCUCGGACGCUCAUCCUGGCACUUGGCCAUGGCAGGUGAGCCUGCAUCAAGGUGGGGGCCACAUCUGCGGGGGCUCCCUCAUCGCCCCUUCCUGGGUCCUCUCCGCUGCUCACUGUUUCGUGACGUGAGUAUAGUCUUUGUCCAGGUUCUCUCCUAUAGCUAACCCUGCGCAGCAGCUCAACCUUCCCUGCUUAUCCUUCCUGCCUGGCAAUGCCACGCUGUCCAGGCUGAAUACCCUAGAAUAGAAAUCUUUCCAACGCUCCCACUGACAUCUCCAAGUCCUAUUUGACCCUUUCGACUUCCACGGUGAAAAAUCUGGAUUCGCUCUCUCGCUGGGUUCCUACUGACCCUAGCUCCCCGUUGGCUCUGAGUCCCCAGUCCCAAGGACUGACUCCGUAGGGCCAACCUAGUCCCCUUCUCUCCCCGGCACUGGAGCAGGAAUGGAACCUUGGAGCCCGCGGACGAAUUGUCAGUUCUGCUGGGCGUGCACUCCCAGGACGGGCCCCUGGAAGGAGCGCACAUGCGCUCAGUGGCCACCAUCCUGAUACCGGACAACUACAGCACAGUGGAACUGGGCGCAGACUUGGCUCUGCUGCGCCUGGCCUCGCCAGCCAAGCUGGGCCCCUCUGUGCGGCCGGUCUGCCUGCCUCGUGCCUCGCACCUCUUCGCUCACGGAACUGCCUGCUGGGCCACUGGUUGGGGGGACGUCCAGGAGGCUGUCCCUCUGCCUCUGCCCUGGGUUCUACAGGAAGUGGAGCUAAGGUUGCUGGGAGAGGCUGCCUGUCAAUGUCUCUACAGCCGUCCUGGCCCUUUCAACCUGACUUUCCAGCUGUUGCCAGGGAUGUUGUGUGCUGGCUAUCCAGCGGGACGAAGGGAUACCUGCCAGGGUGACUCUGGGGGACCGCUGGUCUGUGAGGACGGAGGCCGAUGGUUCCUGGCCGGAAUCACCAGCUUUGGCUUUGGCUGUGGACGGAGGAACCGCCCUGGGGUCUUCACUGCAGUGGCUCCCUAUGAGUCGUGGAUUCGGGAACACGUGAUGGGUUCAGAACCUGGGCCUGUCUUUCCCAGCCAGCUCCAGAAGCCACAGUCAGGACCCUGGGAGCCCAGAGAAGAAAACUGUACCUUUGCUCAACCAGAGUGCGGGAAGGCUCCGAGGCCGGGGACCUGGCCCUGGGAGGCCCAAGUGACCGUACCAGGCUCCACACCCUGCUAUGGAGCUCUGGUGUCUGACAGAUGGGUCUUGGCACCCGCCAGCUGCUUUCUGGACUCACCCCACGAUUUUGAGACCUGGCGGGUGCUGCUGCCCUCCCGUCCGGAGGAGGAGAGGGUGGCGCGCCUCGUGGCGCACGAGAACGCUUCCAGGGACUUCGCUUCGGACCUGGCGCUGCUGCAGCUGAGGACGCGCGUGAACCUGACCGCGGCCCCGAGUGCCGUGUGCCUGCCCCACCACGAACACUAUUUUCUGCCCGGGAGCCACUGCCGCCUGGCUCGCUGGGGACGCGGGGGUGCGCGUGGCCGCGCGGGGCCAAGGACUGGGUGGGAUGGGCGGAGCGGAACCCACGCGGGCGGCCGCAUUGACCCCUCGCUGCUCAUCUCUCUCCCAGAACUCGCCCCGGGCUCCAGCGCGCAGCUGGAGGCGCAGCUGUUGAACGGCUGGUGGUGUCAUUGCCUGUACGGCCGCCAGGGGGAGACCGUGCCGCGGCCAGGAGACCCGCCGCACUUGCUUUGUCCCGCCUACCAGGAGGAGGAAGAGGCGGGCCUAUGUUGGGUGAGCAGCAGGAACUCGUUGCAGAAAUCUCGUCCGGACCAGGACCCAGCUGGAGGUGGGAGGAGCUAGAACGGAGCGGGGCGUUCUGGCCUCCGCAUGAAAGAUUCCAGUUGGAGCCUUCUGUGCCGUGAGGAGGGGACCUGGUUCCUGGCAGGAUACAGAACCCUCUCAGAUGGUUGUCUCCGACCCCGAGCCUUUUCCCCAAUGCAGACUCAUGGUCCGUGGAUCCGUCAUGUGACUCAGGGAGCUUACCUGGAGGACCAGCUAACCUGGGACUGGGGCCCUGAAGGGGAGGAGACCGAGAAACAGACUUGUCCCACACAUACUGAGCACGGUGCCUGUGGCCUAAGGCCAAAAUCCACUCCAGCUGGUGUGUUGUGGCCCUGGCUGACGGAGGUGCAUGUGACUGGUGAUAGAGUCUGCACUGGGAUUCUGGUGGCCCCAGGCUGGGUCCUAGCAGCCACUCACUGUAUUCUCAGGCUGGGCUCUACAACAGUGCCCUACAUUGAAGUAUAUCUUGGCCGGGCAGGGGUCAGCUCCCUCCCACAGGGCCACCAGGUAUCUCGGUCUGUCGUCAGCAUCCGUCUGCCCCGGCACUUAGGACUUAGACCCCCCCUGGCUCUACUGGAGCUGAACUCUCGGGUGGAGCCCUCCCCAUCAGCUCUUCCCAUCUGCCUACACCCAGGGGGUAUUCCUUCAGGGGCCAGCUGCUGGGUUUUGGGCUGGAAGAACCCACAGGACAGAGUUCCUGUAGUUGCUGCUGUCUCCAUCUUGACACCACGACUCUGUCACUGCCUCUAUCCGGGUAUUCUGACUCCUGGGACCUUCUGUGUCCUCUAUUCAGAGGGACAGGAGGAUAGAUGUGAGGUCACCUCAGCACCUCCCCUCCUGUGCCAGACUGAGGAAGGUCCCUGGGUUCUCGUGGGCAUGGCUGUUCGAGGAAACCGGGAGCUGUUUGCAGCCAUUGGCCCUGAAGCUACAUGGAUAUCGCAAACCGUGGGAGAAGCCCAUUUUCUUCAUCUCGGUGGCUCCUCCUACUGGUCUCCUGAAGGCAGUGACCUCUGCCCCCAAGACUUAGCAGGGUCUGCUAGCUCCCCUAAGGUCACUGCUCUGCUUCUGCUCCUCCUCCUGGCUCCACUGAUCCCUCGCUGAGAGCCCGGCUCCUAUUCACACCACCCAUCAGGGCUGGAAUGUGGCUCAACCGGCCAGCUCCCGGGCCUGAAGAGGGCCUCUUCCACCUCUACUGCAUCAGCUUUCAGAUAAUUGGACCUCAGUGCUGGCUACUUUAAAUCUAAGAAUCCUUGGGGGUGGAGGAGGAACAGACAAUAAAAAUGUAAAUACAGA